GUGAGAUUUCACAUCCUGGAGCGACUGAGCGUACGUGAUAUUUUAAACCAGUAAACAAACCCCACUGUGCAUGAUCGUUUCACCUCUGUAUCUGUUCUCCCUCGAUCCCCCACUCAGUUCCCAACUCGAGGGUUUUUCGAUAAUCCAUUUUCACUCCAAAUUUAUCCCUAACUUUGCUCCGCUUCUUCUCUAACCUAAAAUUCCUCCUCUUUUAGGGUUUAUUAAAGAUCUUAUGUGAUUAUUUUCCCACCCCAAUCUCUAUUUAUGCUUCUUCAAGGAUUCUAUUGAUCUGGGGUUCUUGAAUUUCGUUUCUUUCUUUUUGUUUUUGAAUACCACCUUAGUGUUUCUAGAACUAGCUUCUCCCUUUUUCUCUCCUUGUUUCCUGAGGAAAAUUUUGGUAUCUCAUGGUUCUUGGGCUUCUAGUAUUUCAAUUGGUUGGUGAUUAAUGGAUUAUUUUUGACAUGAGGGUUCAAAUAUGAG
rnacentral:misc_RNA from 1 species